GGAUAGGUGGCUGAGUGGUCAAAAGCAUUGAUUUUGAAAAUCAAAGUACUUAAAGGUACCGGGGGUUCGAAUCCCUCCUUGUCCG
rnacentral:tRNA from 1 species